rnacentral:piRNA from 2 species
AUCGCGCAGGACUUCAAGACCGACCU